UCUACAACAAGUCGAGGACAUACCAAAACACCAACCACUGAUAUCAUGCCUAGAACGCCAUAGAAGGUAGAAUCCUCAUCUACGAAACCCUUUUUGAAUAACAAUAUGCGCAAAAGAAGAGAAACAUGUCAGGGCCAGAACACCUCAUUUUUUUCAAAAUUCAAAGGCAAGUUACAUAACUUGAGCUAAAAGUACCUUCAUAAAGAAUGCAAUGGCAACAACAAGGAGACUAACAGCCAUUCCAACCGACGAGACCUAUAAUGAAGCACUUGAGUUCCUUGUUAGGAAAAAGUUUAAAAAUUACAUAUAUGAGUU
rnacentral:lncRNA from 1 species